UACGUAGGGUGCAAGCGUUGUCCGGAAUUAUUGGGCGUAAAGAGCUCGUAGGUGGCCUGUCGCGUCGGCUGUGAAAACUCGGGGCUUAACCCCGGGCCUGCAGUGGGUACGGGCAGACUAGAGUGCGGUAGGGGAGACUGGAAUUCCUGGUGUAGCGGUGAAAUGCGCAGAUAUCAGGAGGAACACCGGUGGCGAAGGCGGGUCUCUGGGCCGUUACUGACGCUGAGGAGCGAAAGCGUGGGGAGCGAACAGG
rnacentral:rRNA from 1 species